rnacentral:rRNA from 1 species
GAGAUCGGGAUAACACCUGGAAACAGAUGCUAAUACCGGAUAACAACAGAUGAUGCCUAUCAACUGUUUAAAAGAUGGUUCUGCUAUCACUCUUGGAUGGACCUGCGGUGCAUUAGCUAGUUGGUGGGGUAACGGCCUACCAAGGCGAUGAUGCAUAGCCGAGUUGAGAGACUGAUCGGCCACAUUGGGACUGAGACACGGCCCAAACUCCUACGGGAGGCAGCAGCG